GCGUGCCAUUUGUCUGUGUGUGUGUGUUAGGAUAUGUUUUGUGCCAAUCAAUUGAUGAAAAUGUAUCCCUCAGAAAGCAAGAUGGAUCGUAGUGAUGAGAGAAUCAGAAGAGCUUUAAGGCGCCGCCCUUAUGUGUUGAAUCCAGUGAGGGUGAACUCCCCUGAUUCUGCGAUGUGGCCAACCGGUAAGGUGCACAGAAGACCAAGGCCUUCUACUUCAGCGCAGACCCCUCAGAUCCACAAAAGGCCU